rnacentral:rRNA from 1 species
CAAAAACAUCGCCUCUUGCAACAAAACCAAGUAUAAGAGGUCCAGCCUGCCCAGUGACCACAAGUUUAACGGCCGCGGUAUUUUGACCGUGCAAAGGUAGCGCAAUCACUUGUCUUUUAAAUAAAGACCUGUAUGAAUGGCUAAACGAGGGCUUAACUGUCUCCCAUUUCCAGUCAGUGAAAUUGAUUUAUCCGUGCAGAAGCGGGUAUAAAAAUACAAGACGAGAAGACCCUUUGGAGCUUAAGGUACAAAACUCAACCACGUCAAGCAACUCAAUAAAAAGAAGAUUAAACCUUGUGGCAAUUGAGACCCUACCUUCGGUUGGGGCGACCACGGAGGAAAACAAAGCCUCCAAGUGGAUUAGGGCCAACCCCCUAAAACUAAGAGAGACAUCUCCAAGCAACAGAACAUCUGACCAUACAUGAUCCGGCUAACCCAGCCGAUCAACGAACCAAGUUACCCUAGGGAUAACAGCGCAAUCCCCUCCCAGAGUCCAUAUCGACGAGGGGGUUUACGACCUCGAUGUUGGAUCAGGACAUCCUAAUGGUGCAGCCGCUAUUAAGGGUUCGUUUGUUCAACGAUUAAAGUCCUACGUGAUCUGAGUNCCAGACCCAGA